CAGAAAGAACACCGGGGCCAGUGCGUCGCGAAGGAAUUCUGCAGCAUCAUCAUCGUUGUCACGGACGUACACACCGAAAAUACACCGCUCCUACCGCGUGUAACUGUAAAACUACUGUUCUUUUUUUAUCGCGCAUUCGCAUGUACAAUCAGUCCUGCGGAGGUUACGGUAAAGUUGCAACCCGCAUAAUCUCGGCGAAUUCGAUUCCCGGCGGAGGGGGGGGGGGCUUCUCAGCGCCGCGAACGCAGAUAAGGAUUGUUCCGCGCGUUCUCGGUAGUUGAAGUUUCCGAACUUUAGCAGCGUCUCGCCUCGAAGAAUUAUAAUAGCGAAAACUACUGAGAACUGUCUUGACAGAUCUAGAUAAGGACAUUCGCGCGAAAGAAGCCACGUCUUCUCGUCUCUUACUUGCGCAGAGACGUUAGAUCGACCGGAGUUUGUCUUCUACCGCUCGACAUUUCUUUCUUCCUCUCCGAGCAAAGUUCAAGCGAGUUGGGCGAUCUUGAUCGCGACGGAAAAACGAAAAAUUUUUCCCUCCGAAAGUCGGUUCUUCAAAUCGACUCUUUUCUGCUCGACUUUUGAUGUUUUUCACAAAUCGGUUCUUUUGAACGUUGACUCCGGUUGAAUUCUUCAUUAAGCGCAACAACGCUGAUGAAUAAUCAUCGUUGUUAUAUCGACGAAUCGAAAGUCGAUUCGUCUGCUGAAAGAAUCGACUUGUGCAAAAAAGAAUCGAUUCGAAAGGUUUCUUCAAGAUCGAUUCGAGAUCGCCCAUCUAGGUCCCCUGGUGUUCGUUUCUACCGACAAGUUCCGCAAGUGUUCACGGCAGUCGGGCGGUAGAAGACAAAGUUCAGACCUCGAAUCUGCACAUAGCGCCCGUCAUUCGGAUCGCCCCGACUUGCCGCAGGAUUUGCAUUCGAAUGCGCCCCUUUUUCCCGCAGACGGCGGUAAAGGAAACAGCGACGAGCUGCCGACGACGAGAACGGUUGAGAACCACCGCGUAGUCGCGCAGGCGCCGCGCCGGCGUAAAAUACAAAAUAUACAAGGACAGUUCGUGAUAACGUUGCUGAUAGGGCGGAACAGUCUACGAUAUACUCACCUGAUCGUUACGGCCAGCAGGACGAUGAUGACGCCCACUAGAACCAUAGCAA